UUGGGAUAUCAGCUCGCCUGGACAGUACAGUUAAGCAUGUUUAUUCAUUUUAUUUACAAUAUAUGAAUAUUUGUCUGCACGCCCGUAGCCGCUGCUUCAACAUAUCAUUUUCCAAUUAUACACAAUCUACAAAAGAAAUAUCUUUGUUAACAAUCUUUUCAAGCAUGUAUAAUCUUAAAAAACAUCCACAUCAAUCAUAAGCAUG
rnacentral:lncRNA from 1 species